GACGAACGCUGGCGGCGUGCUUAACACAUGCAAGUCGAACGAUGACGACCGAGCUUGCUCGGUCUGAUUAGUGGCGAACGGGUGAGUAACACGUGAGCAACCUGCCCUUCACUCUGGGAUAACCUCGGGAAAUCGGGGCUAAUACCGGAUAUGAGCUCCUGUCGCAUGGCGGGUGUUGGAAAGUUUUUCGGUGAAGGAUGGGCUCGCGGCCUAUCAGUUUGUUGGUGAGGUAGGGGCUCACCAAGGCGAUGACGGGUAGCCGGCCUGAGAGGGCGACCGGCCACACUGGGACUGAGACACGGCCCAGACUCCUACGGGAGGCAGCAGUGGGGAAUAUUGCACAAUGGGCGAAAGCCUGAUGCAGCGACGCCGCGUGAGGGAUGACGGCCUUCGGGUUGUAAACCUCUUUCAGCAGGGAAGAAGCGAAAGUGACGGUACCUGCAGAAGAAGCGCCGGCUAACUACGUG
rnacentral:rRNA from 1 species